rnacentral:rRNA from 1 species
UAACCUAACCUUAAGUCAAGAAUAACCUCGGGAAACUGAGGAUAAGACUUGAUAGGAAAUUUUUUCUGGAAUGAGAAAUUUUUUAAAUUCGAGCUUAAGGAUGGGGCUGCGGCUGAUUAGCUAGUUGUUGGUGUAAAAGACUAACAAGGCGAUGAUCAGUAAGGGCUCUUAGCGGAGAGGCCCUGAGAAGGAAUCUGAGACACUAUUCCUAGCUCUACGGGGUGCAGCAGUCGAGGAAAUUUUUCAAUGCCCGCAAGGGUGAACGAGUAAGCCAGAGUGUUUUCUUUACGAAAACUUUUGUCUGUUGUAAAAAGACAGACGAAUAAGGACUGGGCAAGACCGGUGCCAGCCGCCGCGGUAAUCCCGGCGGUCCAAGUCGCAUCCACAAUUAUUGGGUCUAAAACAUCCGUAGCUUGUUUUGUAAGUCUCUUGUGAAAUUUCAUAUCUUAAGUAUGAAGCGUGCAAGAGAUACUACAUUGCUAGAGACCGGAAGACGCAAAGAGUACGAUGGAGGUAGCGGUAAAAUGUGUUAAUCUCUAUCGGACUAACAAUGGCGAAGGCACUUUGCGAGUACGGAUCUGACAGUGAGGGAUGAAGGCUAGGGGCGCAAAAGGGAUUAGAUACCCCUGUAGUCCUAGCAGUAAACACUGCUCACUAAACAUCAGCACCUCCUCGAGAG